GAUGAACGCUGGCGGCGUGCCUAAUACAUGCAAGUCGAGCGAACGGACGAGAAGCUUGCUUCUCUGAUGUUAGCGGCGGACGGGUGAGUAACACGUGGAUAACCUACCUAUAAGACUGGGAUAACUUCGGGAAACCGGAGCUAAUACCGGAUAAUAUUUUGAACCGCAUGGUUCAAAAGUGAAAGACGGUCUUGCUGUCACUUAUAGAUGGAUCCGCGCUGCAUUAGCUAGUUGGUAAGGUAACGGCUUACCAAGGCAACGAUGCAUAGCCGACCUGAGAGGGGGAUCGGCAAAAUGGAAACGGAAACAGGGUCCGAACCCCUACAGAGGGAAGCAGAGGGGAAUCUUCCGCAAGGGGCGAAGGCCGAACGGGGCAAGGCGGGGGAGGUGAGAAGGGUCUUCGGAUCGUAAAACGUGGUUAUUAGGAAGAAACAAAGGGGAAGUAACUGUGCACAUCUUGACGGUACCUAAUCAGAAAGCCACGGCUAACUACGUG
rnacentral:rRNA from 1 species